CUCAGGAAAGCUGCAUCCUCCACACUGAAACCACACCGGCAUUAGGACACUCCACCCAGCCUCUGGAAACACCCACCACUGCCUUCUUCUGGAAAGCACCUGCUCUAGUCCCUGGAGACUCGUAUUAGGGCAGAAUCCAACAGAAGAAUUCCGUGGUCAGCAGAGAAAGCCCCAUCUCAGCAUCCAUGGAGCAGGUGCAUCUGAGCACAAGCCUGGUGGACCAGCCGACAAGCCUAAGACAAGGGCACAGGAAGCCUGGGUAUUGCCCACAAACACUCCAUCCAGUUCUUCCAUGGCCUGCCUUGAGGUCUACCAAGCAUUUAAAAGUCACCUUACCUGCCUGGGUAAGUUUAACCAUAUGUACCAAUAUUUCAUCAAGCGAUGCAUACAAAAGGGAGAGAGAACCCAGCUGAAGGGUGGCUACAGUGACAGGCAUAGGCUCUGGGGAUGAUCAGUUAAGACCACAAGCGGAGACACAACUGAGGCACAGUUGUGACACUGAGACACAGGACCACAAACUGAUUCAGCUCUGAUGACGGUGGUGGUCGUC